rnacentral:rRNA from 1 species
GAUGAACGCUGGCGGCGUGCCUAAUACAUGCAAGUCGAGCGAACAGACGAGGAGCUUGCUCCUCUGACGUUAGCGGCGGACGGGUGAGUAACACGUGGAUAACCUACCUAUAAGACUGGGAUAACUUCGGGAAACCGGAGCUAAUACCGGAUAAUAUAUUGAACCGCAUGGUUCAAUAGUGAAAGACGGUUUUGCUGUCACUUAUAGAUGGAUCCGCGCCGCAUUAGCUAGUUGGUAAGGUAACGGCUUACCAAGGGAACGAUGCGUAGCCGACCUGAGAGGGUGAUCGGCCACACUGGAACUGAGACACGGUCCAGACUCCUACGGGAGGCAGCAGUAGGGAAUCUUCCGCAAUGGGCGAAAGCUUGACGGAGCAACGCAGCGUGAGUGAUGAAGGUCUGCGGAUCGUAAAACUCUGUUAUUAGGGAAGAACAAAUGUGUAAGUAACUAUGCACGUCUUGACGGUACCUAAUCAGAAAGCCACGGCUAACUACGU